rnacentral:lncRNA from 1 species
AGCUGAGGAGAGUGCUACUGGUAUCAAAAAUGGUUACGAUGAAGAAGAUAGUGAUCGAGUUAGCAUAUUUGGAUACAUGAUAAGUGGAGUUGGAUCAAUGAUAGUGGUGAUGGUUGAUGGUGAGAAGGAGGAGACUCAAUCUAGGGUAAAGGGAGAAAAGCCCAGUUUCACUCCAUCGCGCAAUUCCUCUUCACCAUCUAUCAUGUGAAGCUCAAGAUUGCCUUCGAUCUUUUCC